AUUAAUAUUCAAUUUAUUUACAUUUCAAUAGUAAACACUACUAUGACAAUGGGUACAUAUUCAUAAUGACAAAAUGAAAAAGCCUAUUUUCAUUAAUACAGGUUUUCUUGAAAAAAGAUGAAAGACAUCUUAAGUGGGAAAAUGUAGUUUAAGAGAGCAAUAAAUGAUGGGCAACAGUGGAGGGCAAAACGCCACAGCUACAUUUGUAGUAAUCAUUUCGAUGCAUGUGACUACACUCAGGGGUCGAUCCAGCAAGGUUUUUCUAGGGGGUGCUGGGUGAGCAGCCGAGUGUUCCUUUAUAAUUCUUUAGGGGGUGGUGGGAGAGCAUUCAAAUAAAU